rnacentral:rRNA from 1 species
CCUACGGGUGGCAGCAGUGGGGAAUAUUGCACAAUGGGCGAAACCCUGAUGCAGCAACGCCGCGUGAAUGAGGAAGUAUUUCGGUCUGUAAAGCUCUAUCAGCAGGGAAUAGCAAAGGAGGUACCUGAAAAAGCAACCCCGGCUAACUACGUUCCAACAGCCGCGGUAAUACGUGGGGGGCAAGCGUUAUCCGGAUUUACUGGUUGGAAAGGGAGCGUAGACGGCAAGGCAAGUCAGAAGUGAAAGCCCAAGGCCCAAAGAUGGGACUGCUUUUGAAACUGUCAAACUAGAGUACGGGAGAGGUAAGAGGAAUGCCUGGUGUAGCGGUGAAAUGCGUAGAUAUUAGGAGGAACACCAGUGGCGAAGGCGUCUUACGGGACCGAAACUGACGUUGAGGCUCGAAAGCGUGGGGAGCAAACAGGAUUAGAUACCCUUGUAGUC